GAGUUUGAUCCUGGCUCAGAACGAACGCUGGCGGCGUGCCUAACACAUGCAAGUCCAACGUGAAAGGGGAGCAAUCCCCCGGUAGGGUGGCAAACGGGUGAGUAAUACAUGGGUGAUCUACCUUAGGGAUGGGGAUAUCCUUCCGAAAGGAGGGGCAAUACCGAAUAUUGUCCGGAGCCGUGAAGGGUUCCGGGGAAAGGGAGGCCUCUGAUACAAGCUUUCGCCUUAAGAUGAGCCCAUGGCUCAUCAGCUAGUUGGUAGGGUAAAGGCCUACCAAGGCUACGACGGGUCGCUGGUCUGAGAGGACGACCAGCCACACUGGCACUGAGAUACGGGCCAGACUCCUACGGGAGGCAGCAGUGAGGAAUAUUGCGCAAUGGGGGAAACCCUGACGCAGCAACGCCGCGUGUGGGAAGAAGGCCUUCGGGUCGUAAACCACUUUUGCACGGGACGAAAAAGGGAUAUCGAACAAAUAUCCCCGAUGACGGUACCGUGAGAAUAAGCCACGGCUAACUCUGUGCCAGCAGCCGCGGUAAGACAGAGGUGGCAAGCGUUGUUCGGAAUUACUGGGCGUAAAGAGUCUGUAGGUGGUUUGUCAAGUCUUUGGUGAAAGGCCGUAGCUUAACUAUGGGAAUGCCAAAGAGACUGGCAGGCUGGAGGCUGGGAGAGGGAAGCGGAAUUUCUGGUGUAGCGGUGAAAUGCGUAGAUAUCAGAAGGAAGGCCGGUGGCGAAGGCGGCUUCCUGGAACAGUCCUGACA
rnacentral:rRNA from 1 species